rnacentral:rRNA from 1 species
UGGGGAAUAUUGCACAAUGGGCGAAAGCCUGAUGCAGCAACGCCGCGUGAAGGAUGAAGUAUUUCGGUAUGUAAACUUCUAUCAGCAGGGAAGAUAACGACGGUACCUGACUAAGAAGCCCCGGCUAACUACGUGCCAGCAGCCGCGGUAAUACGUAGGGGGCAAGCGUUAUCCGGAUUUACUGGGUGUAAAGGGAGCGUAGGCGGCAGCGCAAGUCAGAAGUGAAAGCCCGGGGCUUAACUCCGGGACUGCUUUUGAAACUGUGCGGCUAGAUUUCAGGAGAGGUAAGCGGAAUUCCUAGUGUAGCGGUGAAAUGCGUAGAUAUUAGGAGGAACACCAGUGGCGAAGGCGGCUUACUGGACUGACAAUGACGCUGAGGCUCGAAAGCGUGGGGAGCAAACAGGAUUAGAUACCC